rnacentral:ncRNA from 1 species
UUGUGGUCUUAGACAACAGUCCCCCUACAAAGGUGUGGCACGGUUGCUCGAGAUCUUCAUUCGUGGUUGCUGUUGUUGCUCUUCAUUGAGUGUCAAUGGUGCCUCGAGAUUUUACUUUGAAAAAAUUAGAGUGCUCAAAGCAGGUUGUGAUGCCUGAAUAAUGGUGCAUGGAAUAAUAGAAUACGAUCUCGGUUCUAUUUUGUUGGUUUUCGAACCGGAGAUAAUGAUUGAAAGGAACAGACGGGGGCAUUCGUAUUGCUGCGUUAGAGGUGAAAUUCUUGGAUCGCAGCAAGAUGAACAAUUGCGAAAGCAUUUGCCAAGAAUGUUUUCAUUAAUCAAGAACGAAAGUUAGAGGUUCGAAGGCGAUCAGAUACCGCCCUAGUUCUAACGGUAAACUAUGCCAACCAGCGAUUCGCCGAAGUUCAUUUAAGACUCGGCGAGCAGCUUCCGGGAAACCAAAGUGUUUCGGUUCCGGGGGAAGUAUGGUUGCAAAGCUGAAACUUAAAGGAAUUGACGGAAGGGCCCCCCCCCAGGAGUGGAGCCUGCGGCUUAAAUUUGACUCAACACGGGAAAACUCACCCCGGCCCCGGACACUGGGAAAGGAUGGACAGAUUGACAGCUCUUUUCUUUGAUUUCAGUGGGGUAGUGGUGCAUGGGCCCGUUCUUAGGUUGGGUGGAAGCCGAUUUUGUCCUGGUUUAAUUCCGAUACGAACGAGACUCUACCCCUAUUAAAUAGUGACAGUAUUGUAUUUUUCUUGUGCUGAUCACUUUCUUAUAGCGACUG